AUGAGCGAGUGUAGUUGUUGUCUCGUAAGGGAGAUGAACAAAAAAUCGCUUUUAAGAAUAAGCGCUUCCAUGAAAUUUGAAGAAGAAAAAAGCGCUUAUUCUCCGAUUUUUAAGUUACUGCCGUGCUGCUUUAUAUGUUACUCAUCUUCUUCUCACCGCUACCUCACUGUCUCUCUUUCUACUUUCUAA